GAUGAACGCUAGCUACAGGCUUAACACAUGCAAGUCGAGGGGAAACGAUAGAGAAAGCUUGCUUUUUCUAGGCGUCGACCGGCGCACGGGUGAGUAACGCGUAUCCAACCUGCCCACCACUUGGGGAUAACCUUGCGAAAGUAAGACUAAUACCCAAUGAUAUCUCAAGAAGACAUCUGAAUGAGAUUAAAGAUUUAUCGGUGAUGGAUGGGGAUGCGUCUGAUUAGCUUGUUGGCGGGGUAACGGCCCACCAAGGCGACGAUCAGUAGGGGUUCUGAGAGGAAGGUCCCCCACAUUGGAACUGAGACACGGUCCAAACUCCUACGGGAGGCAGCAGUGAGGAAUAUUGGUCAAUGGGCGAGAGCCUGAACCAGCCAAGUAGCGUGCAGGAUGACGGCCCUAUGGGUUGUAAACUGCUUUUAUAAGGGAAUAAAGUGAGUCUCGUGAGGCUUUUUGCAUGUACCUUAUGAAUAAGGACCGGCUAAUUCCGUGCCAGCCGCCGCCGUAA
rnacentral:rRNA from 1 species